rfam:Agrilus planipennis Contig6499, whole genome shotgun sequence.
AUCUCGAGGAGGGUUUUUAGUCGGUAGGCGCUCCCACCAGGAAUUAAUCCGACACUACCCCCCUGGGGGGCGUCUUUAGAAGAUUUCCCCUCCUCG